UCGUCAUCGUAGGGUUAGUCGGGACCUAAGUCGAGUCCGAAAGGGGUAGACGAUGGCAAAUUGAUUAAUAUUUCAAUACCAACAAAUAAGCGCGAUGUGGGGACGCAUAGAGUUAAUCGAGGUCACUGAUGGAAUAGUGGCUCGAAGGACGUAGGAUGAUAGUUAGGCAAAUCCGGCUAUCACUAAUCCGAGAUCUUACAGGCUGUUGCGAUUCUUCGGAAUCAAUUCAGAAUCGAUGAUACUGUCGUGCCAAGAAAAGCCACUAAGUAUAUUAUUUGUUGCCCGUACCGUAAACCGACACAGGUGGGUGGGAUGAGUAUUCUAAGGCGCGUGGAUGAACCCUGGUUAAGGAACUCUGCAAACUAGCACCGUAUCUUCGGUAUAAGGUGUGCCUUAUUUGUUAGGGGAUUUACUUCCCGAAGCAUUGAUAGGUCGCAGCAAAGUGUCCCUCCCGACUGUUUAC
rnacentral:rRNA from 1 species